rnacentral:rRNA from 1 species
GACGGGACCGCACAAGCGGUGGAUGAUAUGGAUUAAUUCGAUGCAACGCGAAAACCUUACCUACCCUUGACAUGUUCAGAAUCCUGAAGAGAUUUGGGAGUGCCCGAAAGGGAGCUGGAACACAGGUGCUGCAUGGCUGUCGUCAGCUCGUGUCGUGAGAUGUUGGGUUAAGUCCCGCAACGAGCGCAACCCUUGUCGUUAAUUGCCAUCAUUAAGUUGGGCACUUUAACGAGACUGCCGGUGACAAACCGGAGGAAGGUGGGGAUGACGUCAAGUCCUCAUGGCCCUUAUGGGUAGGGCUUCACACGUCAUACAAUGGUCGGUACAGAGGGUUGCCAAGCCGCGAGGUGGAGCCAAUCCCAGAAAGCCGAUCGUAGUCCGGAUUGUAGGCUGCAACUCGCCUGCAUGAAGUCGGAAUCGCUAGUAAUCGUGAAUCAGGAUGUCACGGUGAAUACGUUCCCGGGCCUU